rnacentral:rRNA from 1 species
UAGGGAAUCUUCCACAAUGGGCGCAAGCCUGAUGGAGCAACACCGUGAGUGAAGAAGGGUUUCGGCUCGUAAAGCUCUGUUGUUAAAGAAGAACACGUAUGAGAGUAACUGUUCAUACGUUGACGGUAUUUAACCAGAAAGUCACGGCUAACUACGUGCCAG